rnacentral:rRNA from 1 species
CCCUUAGAUGUUCUGGGCUGCACGCGCGCUACACUGAAGCGUUCAACGAGUAUUCACCUUGCCCGGGAGGGUUGGGUAAUCUUUUGAAAACGCUUCGUGAUGGGGAUAGAUUAUUGCAAUUAUUAAUCUUCAACGAGGAAUUCCUAGUAAGCGCGAGUCAUCAGCUCGUGCUGAUUACGUCCCUGCCCUUUGUACACACCGCCCGUCGCUACUACCGAUUGAAUGAUUUAGUGAGGACUUCGGACUGGGACCGAUGCGGCUUUCGGGCUGCGUCGGUAUUCUGGAAAGAUGUCCAAACUGUAUCAUUUAGAGGAAGUAAAANUCGUANCA